GAUGAACGCUGGCGGCGUGCCUAAUACAUGCAAGUCGAGCGAACGGACGAGGAGCUUGCUUCUCUGAUGUUAGCCGAGGACGGGUGAGUAACACGUGGAUAACCUCCCUAUCAGACUGGGAUAACUUCGGGAAACCGGAGCUAAUACCGGAGGAUAUCUUGAACCGCAUGGUUCAAAAGUGAAAGACGGCCUUGCGGUCACGUAUAGCUGGAUCCGCGCUGCAUUAGCUAGUUGGUAGGGUCACGGCUUACCACGGCAACGAUGCGUAGCCGACAUGAGAGGGUGGUCGGCAACACUGGAACGGAGGCACGGUCCAGACGCCUACGGGAGGCAGCAGUAGGGAACGUGCCGCAAUGGGCGAAAGUCUGACGCAGUAACGCGGCGUGAGUGAUGACAGUGCUGGGAUCGUAAAAACCUGUUAUGAGGGAAGAACAGAUGUGUAAGGAACUGUGGAGAUCGUGACGGUACCUAAUCAAGAAGCAACGGCUAACUACGUG
rnacentral:rRNA from 1 species